CAAACUACUGUUAGGAACUGGCUUUAAAUAAGAGGAAAAAAAACAAAAAUAGAAAACAAGGAAAAAAAAAAAGAUUUAAGUGAACGGACUUCAAAACAAGUUAUAGGAGAGACGUUUUUCUGAACUUCCAAAGUUCUGUGAUUUCAGAAAACUUUGUUGCUUUGAAUGAUCUGUGACCUGUCAGGGAGAGAAGAGAGAUUGUUGUGAGCACAGGACAAAAAUAAAAACGGCUUAUUCACUGUC